GAGCAAAAUCGUAAAGCUUAACUUAGUAGUUUUAUUACCUUCAAGCUUUGAAAAGGAUUGAAGCCUUUGAACUCCAAUGUCACAGUAACACCAAAUCUAAUCAAAAUCAAAAUACAGUUAGUAGCAAACCAAAAUACAGUCAACAAUUGAACUAAUUUGAUAGUCGAGAUAUAUACUCAAAAGUCUAAAUUGUUAGAUUAAUCCUAUAAUGAUGUUUGCUUACAGAUAACAGAAAUAGAUCUCCUAUAGAAAUUACACAUUGCAAUUGUUGAGACCAUUAGAUUUACUAAUGUUAAUGCUCUAAUACCAAUUUCAAAUUUUAAAAUCCAAAAUCUGAUGCUAAGUCUUGCAUCUAUACCCUCAAUUUCCCCCAACAUAAUUCUAUCAAAAAAAGUAUGAGUGAAAAUAAUAAAAAUGAUUACAUGUUGCAGCUACAACAGUGAGAGUUAGGAUGUCACUUGCACUUGUACCACUCAUGGCAGAACCAAUAACACUACUAAGAUCUUCUUUCUUAUCUCCCAUUGCUUCAGCUACUAUCGCACGCUGAGCAGCAACCAAAGCA
rnacentral:lncRNA from 1 species